GCUGGCGGCGUGCCUAACACAUGCAAGUCGAACGGGGUAGCAAUACCCAGUGGCAGACGGGUGAGUAACACGUGGUCAACCUACCUCUGUGUGGGGGAUAACUAGCCGAAAGGUUAGCUAAUACCGCAUACGAUCGUUUGGGGGCAUCUUCGAACGAUGAAAGGAGCAAUCCGCACGGAGAGGGGACUGCGUCCCAUUAGUUAGUUGGUGGGGUAACGGCCUACCAAGACUCCGAUGGGUAGCUGGCUUGAGAGAGCGACCAGCCACACUGGAACUGAGACACGGUCCAGACUCCUACGGGAGGCAGCAGUGAGGAAUUUUCCGCAAUGGGCGAAAGCCUGACGGAGCGACGCCGCGUGUGGGAAGAAGGCCUUCGGGUCGUAAACCACUGUCGAAGGGGACGAUAUUGACGGUACCCUUGGAGGAAGCCCCGGCUAACUACGUGCCAGCAGCCGCGGUAAGACGUAGGGGGCAAGCGUUGUCCGGAAUUAUUGGGCGUAAAGCGCUC
rnacentral:rRNA from 1 species